rnacentral:rRNA from 1 species
UACGUAGGGUGCAAGCGUUGCCCGGAUUUAUUGGGCGUAAAGGGCGCGUAGGCGGCCCGCUAAGUCGAACGUGAAAUCCCCGAGCUCAACUCGGGAACUGCGUCCGAUACUGGUGGGCUUGAAUCCGGGAGAGGGAUGCGGAAUUCCAGGUGUAGCGGUGAAAUGCGUAGAUAUCUGGAGGAACACCGGUGGCGAAGGCGGCAUCCUGGACCGGCAUUGACGCUGAGGCGCGAAAGCUAGGGGAGCAAACGGG